rnacentral:misc_RNA from 1 species
AGCCGAGCUUUUAUAAAACGAACUUCAAAUAGCUCAUGAGUAGCUUAGUUUAUUUACAGCCAUACCUAAAAGGGAUUCAUUUACAUCAGUUUGGCAAAACACCAUAAGGCAAAAACAAUAUUUAUGUCAACUUCAUGCAAAGAGACUAUCCCUGCACCAAACCAAGUCUUACAAAGCUUCCUAGCCUCUCAUCACUUGGUCUCUGUACACGCUUUAAUUAGUUUUUAUUAACUAGUGUCAGCCGAGUCCAAAG